AGUUUGAUCCUGGCUCAGAUUGAACGCUGGCGGAAUGCUUUACACAUGCAAGUCGAACGGCAGCACGGGGCAACCUGGUGGCGAGUGGCGAACGGGUGAGUAAUACAUCGGAACGUGCCCAAUCGUGGGGAUAACGUAGCGAAAGUUACGCUAAUACCGCAUACGAUCUACGGAUGAAAGCGGGGGAUCGCAAGACCUCGCGCGAAUGGAGCGGCCGAUGUCAGAUUAGGUAGUUGGUGGGGUAAAGGCUCACCAAGCCAACGAUCUGUAGCUGGUCUGAGAGGACGACCAGCCACACUGGAACUGAGACACGGUCCAGACUCCUACGGGAGGCAGCAGUGGGGAAUUUUGGACAAUGGGCGCAAGCCUGAUCCAGCCAUUCCGCGUGCAGGAUGAAGGCCUUCGGGUUGUAAACUGCUUUUGUACGGAACGAAACGGCGAGCUCUAAUACAGUUUGCUAAUGACGGUACCGUAAGAAUAAGCACCGGCUAACUACGUG
rnacentral:rRNA from 1 species